GAUGAACGCUGGCGGCGUGCCUAAUACAUGCAAGUCGAGCGAACUGAUUAGAAGCUUGCUUCUAUGACGUUAGCGGCGGACGGGUGAGUAACACGUGGGCAACCUGCCUGUAAGACUGGGAUAACUUCGGGAAACCGAAGCUAAUACCGGAUAGGAUCUUCUCCUUCAUGGGAGAUGAUUGAAAGAUGGUUUCGGCUAUCACUUACAGAUGGGCCCGCGGUGCAUUAGCUAGUUGGUGAGGUAACGGCUCACCAAGGCAACGAUGCACAGCCGACCUGAGAGGGUGAUCGGCCACACUGGGACUGAGACACGGCCCAGACUCCUACGGGAGUCAGCAGUAGGGAAUCUUCCGCAAUGGACGAAAGUCUGACGGAGCAACGCCGCGUGAGUGAUGAAGGCUUUCGGGUCGUAAAACUCUGUUGUUAGGGAAGAAUAAGUACAAGAGUAACUGCUUGUACCUUGACGGUACCUAACCAGAAAGCCACGGCUAACUACGUGCCAGCAGCCGCCGUAAUAC
rnacentral:rRNA from 1 species